GACGAACGCUGGCGGCGUGCUUAACACAUGCAAGUCGAGCGGUAAGGCUCCUUCGGGAGUACACGAGCGGCGAACGGGUGCGUAACACGUGAGUAAUCUGCCCUUCACUUCAGGAUAACCACCGGAAACGGUGGCUAAUACCGAAUACGACCAGUCUUCUCAUGAGGUGCUUGUGGUAAUUCUUUUCGGUGUUGGAUGUGCUCGCGGCCUAUCAGCUUGUUGGUUGGGUAAUUGCCUACCAAGGCGCCGACGGGUAGCCGGCCUCGGAGGGUGACCGGCCACACUGGGGCUGAGACACGGCCGAGACGCCGACGUGGGGAAGCAGUGGGGAAUGUUGGAAACUGGGCGAAAGACUGAUGCAGCAACGACGCGGGAGGUAUGACGGCCUUCGGGUUGUAAACCGCUAGCAGUACCGACGAAGCGACCUGUCGGGUGGUGACGGUAGGUACAGAAGAAGGACCGGCCAACUACGUG
rnacentral:rRNA from 1 species